rnacentral:rRNA from 1 species
ACAGCAGUCGCCACGGUAGUACGUAGGGUGCAAGCGCUAAUCGGAAUUACUGGGCGUAAAGCGUGCGCAGGCGGUUAUAUAAGUCAGAUGUGAAAUCCCCGGGCUCAACCUGGGAACUGCAUUUGAGACUGUAUGGCUAGAGUGUGUCAGAGGGGGGUAGAAUUCCACGUGUAGCAGUGAAAUGCGUAGAUAUGUGGAGGAAUACCGAUGGCGAAGGCAGCCCCCUGGGAUAACACUGACGCUCAUGCACGAAAGCGUGGGGAGCAAACAGGAUUAGAUACCCGCGUAGUCCCUGUCUCUUAUAC